GAUAACAAGCUUAUGACUCCCCAAAGCUCUUAUCGACGGAGUUUUUUGGCAUCUCGAUAUCGAAUCAUCGCAUCCUGGAGUUGAAGACAGUCCUAAGGGUUUAGUUACUUGCCGAUUGAGGUGGCAUGCCAGUUCCAAAUGGCGUUUUACUGCAAUGGCAAAAAACAAUAAUACCUAUGCAUUAUGGUAAAGUUCGAUCUCUAACGAUUUUCUUCUCCCUAACAUUUUAUAAUUUAACUCACUAGCCCUAUCGUUUAUCAAAAGAAAAAAGUGACAUGACAGAUUGAUUCAGAAUGUUGUGAGACAGUUC
rnacentral:rRNA from 1 species